GCCAACGGCCAUACCACGUUGAGAGCACCGGUUCUCGUCCGAUCACCGAAGUUAAGCAACGUCGGGCGUAGGUAGUUAGUACUUAGAUGGGAGACCGCUUGGGAACACUGCGUGCUGUUGGCU
rnacentral:rRNA from 1 species